AGACUGGGAUAACUUCGGGAAACCGGAGCUAAUACCGGAUAAUAUAUURAACCGCAUGGUUCAAUAGUGAAAGACGGUUUUGCUGUCACUUAUAGAUGGAUCCGCGCCGCAUUAGCUAGUUGGUAAGGUAACGGCUUACCAAGGCAACGAUGCGUAGCCGACCUGAGAGGGUGAUCGGCCACACUGGAACUGAGACACGGUCCAGACUCCUACGGGAGGCAGCAGUAGGGAAUCUUCCGCAAUGGGCAAAGCCUGACGGAGCAACGCCGCGUGAGUGAUGAAGGUCUUCGAUCGU
rnacentral:rRNA from 1 species